AUUGAACGCUGGCGGCAGGCCUAACACAUGCAAGUCGAGCGAGCGGCGGACGGGUGAGUAAUGCCUGGGAAUUGCCCAGUCGAGGGGGAUAACAGUUGGAAACGACUGCUAAUACCGCAUACGAUUGGAUUGCCCAGGUGGGAUUAGCUAGUUGGGGAGGAAAUGGCUAACCACGGCGACGACCCCUAGCUGGUCUGAGAGUGUGAGCAGCCACACUGGAACUGAGACAAGGACCAGCCUACUACGGUAGGCAGCAGGGGGGAGUAUUGCACAAUGGGGGAAACCCUGAUGCAGCCAUGCCGCGUGUGUGAAGAAGGCCUUCGGGUUGUAAAGCACUUUCAGCGAGGAGGCGUUACUCGCAGAAGAAGCACCGGCUAACUCCGUGCCAGCAGCCGCGGUAAUUC
rnacentral:rRNA from 1 species